rnacentral:rRNA from 1 species
GACGAACGCUGGCGGCGUGCUUAACACAUGCAAGUCGAACGGAAAGGCCCUGCUUUUGUGGGGUGCUCGAGUGGCGAACGGGUGAGUAACACGUGAGUAACCUGCCCUUGACUUUGGGAUAACUUCAGGAAACUGGGGCUAAUACCGGAUAGGAGCUCCUGCUGCAUGGUGGGGGUUGGAAAGUUUCGGCGGUUGGGGAUGGACUCGCGGCUUAUCAGCUUGUUGGUGGGGUAGUGGCUUACCAAGGCUUUGACGGGUAGCCUGCCUGAGAGGGUGACCGGCCAAAUUGCGACUGAGAUACGGCCCAGACUCAUCCGGGAGGCAAGGGUGGGGAAUAUUGCACAAUGGGCGGAAGCCUGAUGCAGCAACGCCGCGUGCGGGAUGACGGGCUUCGGGUUGUAAACCGAUUUCGCCUGUGACGAAGCGUUAGUGACGGUAAUGGGUAAAGAAGCACCGGCUAACUACGUG